AUUUAACCCCGUUACAACCUUUUUAAGACCCUUAGAUUUUUGCAUUUAAUUCAUGUUUUGUGGAUUGAGAUGUGAUAUAUGAGCAAGCUUAUGGUAAUAGCAUUCUUUGAUUUGAUUUGAGGGCAUAAAUGAUACCCUAAACACUUUGAGUGCAUGGAGUGAAGUCAAUGAGAGGGCUAUUAAAUCUUGUUGCACUUGAAUUUUGAAUGGAUUUUCUUAGUGGUUGAAUGUUUUUAUACUAGCUUAUGAGAUCCUAUGCUUUAAAAUCCUUGUCUCUCGAAUGUUGAUUGACUUAAAUUCUUAAGGUAUGCUUGCUUAAGAUUGUUUUUGGAUGAGAAUUGAGUGGAGAUUUGAGAUUAGUCUUGAGUUAUAUGCUUGAGGACAAGCAUUAUCUUGGUGUGGGGGAAUUUGUUAGAGUGCAAUUUAUGCACUAGUUUUGCAUUGUUUACUUCCUUUAAUAUCGAUGUUUUGCACUUAAUAAUAGUUAUUUACUUGUG
rnacentral:lncRNA from 1 species